GACGUAGGGGGCCAGCGUUGUUCGGAAUUACUGGGUGUAAAGGGUUCGUAGGCGGUGUGGCAAGUUGGGAGUGAAAUCUCUGGGCUCAACCCAGAGGCUGCUUCCAAAACUGCUGUGCUUGAGUGUGGGAGAGGCGAGUGGAAUUACGGGUGUAGCGGUGAAAUGCGUAGAUAUCCGGAGGAACAGCCGAGGCGAAAGCGGCUCGCUGGAUCACAACUGACGCUGAGGGACGAAAGCGAGGGGAGCAAACAGG
rnacentral:rRNA from 1 species